GACGUAGGGUCCGAGCGUUGUCCGGAGUUACUGGGCGUAAAGGGCGCGUAGGCGGUUAUCUGCGUCACACGUGAAAGCCCCUGGCUCAACCAGGGAGGGUCGUGUGAAACGGGGUAACUGGAGGCAGAGAGAGGCUGGUGGAAUUCCCGGAGUAGUGGUGAAAUGCGUAGAGAUCGGGAGGAACACCGGUGGCGAAGGCGGCCAGCUGGCUCUGACCUGACGCUGAGGCGCGGAAGGCGUGGGGAGCGAACGGG
rnacentral:rRNA from 1 species